rnacentral:rRNA from 1 species
UACGAAGGGGGCUAGCGUUGUUCGGAAUUACUGGGCGUAAAGCGCGCGUAGGCGGUGAUCUUUGUCAGAGGUGAAAUCCCGAGGCUCAACUUCGGAAUUGCCUUUGAAACGGGAUUGCUUGAGUCCGAGAGAGGAUGGCGGAAUUCCUAGUGUAGAGGUGAAAUUCGUAGAUAUUAGGAAGAACACCGGUGGCGAAGGCGGCCAUCUGGCUCGGUACUGACGCUCAGGCGCGAGAGCGUGGGGAGCAAACAGG